AGUUGUUGUAAAUAUUCAUCCAAUGUUUAAUGCAAACACAGGUUAAGGUUUAUCAUAAAUAACUCAAUAUAAAGACACAUCAUUAUAUCAGUGGAAUGAAUAAAUGAAUGAGUUUAUUAAAGUAUGUAAGGAAAUUUAUAAAAUCCGAAAAUCUAAAUGAUUUCUUUGAAUGCUUUAUGUAUGGCUUCCCAUAUGAACAAUUAAUCAUGACAGAUCAGAUUGAGAAGUGCGUGAAUUGUUAAGGACUAUUCAGAAACUCAGAAUCUUAUGUCAAACAAAAUUUUGGAAUCUUAUGUCAAACAAAAUUUUG
rnacentral:misc_RNA from 1 species